AGCUUUCUGAAUUCGUGCAGAGAUUUCUUUAAAUACCAAUCCAUUAGUGAUUAUCAGACUUCCAAGAUAAGUGAAGUU
rnacentral:pre_miRNA from 1 species